rnacentral:rRNA from 1 species
UACGUAGGGGGCGAGCGUUGUCCGGAAUCAUUGGGCGUAAAGAGCGUGUAGGCGGCUUGGCAAGUCUGACGUGAAAGCCCGCGGCUCAACCGCGGAUUGUCGUUGGAAACUGCCUCGCUAGAGUCCGGAAGAGGAGAGCGGAAUUCCUGGUGUAGCGGUGGAAUGCGCAGAUAUCAGGAAGAACACCCGUGGUGAAGGCGGCUCUCUGGGACGGUACUGACGCUGAGACGCGAAAGCGUGGGGAGCGAACAGG